rnacentral:tRNA from 1 species
AAAAUUUUAAGUUAAAUAAACUAUUAAUCUUCAAAAUUAAAAAAAUAUAAUUUAUAUAAAUUUUA